UUUGCAUUAUUUGUUUCAUUUAAAUUUUUUCAUGCACUUUUAUUUUUUCUCUGGUGAUCUUUUUUUUUUGAUUAAUUUGUUUAUAAACUAAUUCACACUAAACAAUGCUGCAUAUCUUACAGUAUGUUUAAUAGUUCAAUGUUGUAUUGUUCAAGAAUACUUAUAAAGGACUGGAACAUUGUCUAGACCACAAAUGUUUUUUAUGUGAGAAAUAUCUUAAGCAACGGAAUCAAGAGUAAUUUGGAUGUCUAUCAGUGGAUUAACUGGUUAUGCUGGAAUGACAGCCAGAGUUUGAUCAUAAGAAUCAAGAAACAAAAUAAAGGAAAAGUUCUUUGUAAAUAGUUUUUGCUUUAUCUUUGAGAGAGAUACUUAAAGUAGAGGUGGAAUGUUAGAUGUUGGCUACUCUGAUGAUAUUUCCCAAAAGUUUAUAGAACUUAAAUUUCUGAAAUAAGAUUCCACAUUUGGUUAUCUGGGACAAUGACCUUUAGUGUCAGACAAGACCUUUUUUUGAUCAAUUUUUGCAAUGAUAAAAGAAUCUUUUUUUAAGAAUCUUUUGCUUUAAAAAAUGAUCAAGAAUACCAGUAACAACUGCACAAAUAGGGAAAAACCUUCGGAUAGAGUGAAGCUUGACUUGAAACCGAAAUAAACACUUCUAUCCCUUUCUCAAUCCAGGAGAUAGUAGUUGCUGUUGAUGAUAAAGAUUAUAAAGAGAGAGAAGUCUUGAAACAAUUGGGUUGUUACACUUACAGUGUUUAUUAUACAACUUACUUAUUAUAUUGAAUUUUUUAAUUUAAUUAAUUUUUUUGUUUUUUGUUUUAAUUUAACUCUUCUUUUUUAAUGAAACCUGUUCAUAUUCAGAAGCCGAGGAAGAUGAAAUUGCUUUAAAAGAAAUGCAAAUGAAGCAAGGUAAUAUAUUUUAUAUUGUUCUGUGGUUUAACUUAUUUUUUGUUUUGAUACGCAAUUGAAUUAUCUUGGUGA